CCUACGGGUGGCAGCAGUGGGGAAUAUUGGACAAUGGGGGCAACCCUGAUCCAGCCAUGCCGCGUGUGUGAAGAAGGCCCUCGGGUUGUAAAGCACUUUCAGUGAGGAAGAACGCCUGGUGGUUAAUACCCAUCAGGAAAGGCAUCACUCACAGAAGAAGCACCGGCUAACUCCGUGCCAGCAGCCGCGGUAAUACGGAGGGUGCGAGCGUUAAUCGGAAUUACUGGGCGUAAAGCGCGCGUAGGUGGCUUGAUAAGCCGGUUGUGAAAGCCCCGGGCUCAACCUGGGAACGGCAUCCGGAACUGUCAAGCUAGAGUGCAGGAGAGGAAGGUAGAAUUCCCGGUGUAGCGGUGAAAUGCGUAGAGAUCGGGAGGAAUACCAGUGGCGAAGGCGGCCUUCUGGACUGACACUGACACUGAGGUGCGAAAGCGUGGGUAGCAAACAGGAUUAGAUACCCGUGUAGUC
rnacentral:rRNA from 1 species